rnacentral:rRNA from 1 species
GAUAAACGCUGGCGGCGUGCCUAAUACAUGCAAGUCGAGCGAACGGACGAGAAGCUUGCUUCUCUGAUGUUAGCGGCGGACGGGUGAGUAACACGUGGAUAACCUACCUAUAAGACUGGGAUAACUUCGGGAAACCGGAGCUAAUACCGGAUAAUAUUUUGAACCGCAUGGUUCAAAAGUGAAAGACGGUCUUGCUGUCACUUAUAGAUGGAUCCGCGCUGCAUUAGCUAGUUGGUAAGGUAACGGCUUACCAAGGCAACGAUGCAUAGCCGACCUGAGAGGGUGAUCGGCCACACUGGAACUGAGACACGGUCCAGACUCCUACGGGAGGCAGCAGUAGGGAAUCUUCCGCAAUGGGCGAAAGCCUGACGGAGCAACGCCGCGUGAGUGAUGAAGGUCUUCGGAUCGUAAAACUCUGUUAUUAGGGAAGAACAUAUGUGUAAGUAACUGUGCACAUCUUGACGGUACCUAAUCAGAAAGCCACGGCUAACUACGUGCCAGCAGCCGCGGUAAUACGUAGGUGGCAAGCGUUAUCCGGAAUUAUUGGGCGUAAAGCGCGCGUAGGCGGUUUUUUAAGUCUGAUGUGAAAGCCCACGGCUCAACCGUGGAGGGUCAUUGGAAACUGGAAAACUUGAGUGCAGAAGAGGAAAGUGGAAUUCCAUGUGUAGCGGUGAAAUGCGCAGAGAUAUGGAGGAACACCAGUGGCGAGGGCGACUUUCUGGUCUGUAACUGACGCUGAUGUGCGAAAGCGUGGGGAUCAAACAGGAUUAGAUACCCUGGUAGUCCACGCCGUAAACGAUGAGUGCUAAGUGUUAGGGGGUUUCCGCCCCUUAGUGCUGCAGCUAACGCAUUAAGCACUCCGCCUGGGGAGUACGACCGCAAGGUUGAAACUCAAAGGAAUUGACGGGGACCCGCACAAGCGGUGGAGCAUGUGGUUUAAUUCGAAGCAACGCGAAGAACCUUACCAAAUCUUGACAUCCUUUGACAACUCUAGAGAUAGAGCCUUCCCCUUCGGGGGACAAAGUGACAGGUGGUGCAUGGUUGUCGUCAGCUCGUGUCGUGAGAUGUUGGGUUAAGUCCCGCAACGAGCGCAACCCUUAAGCUUAGUUGCCAUCAUUAAGUUGGGCACUCUAAGUUGACUGCCGGUGACAAACCGGAGGAAGGUGGGGAUGACGUCAAAUCAUCAUGCCCCUUAUGAUUUGGGCUACACACGUGCUACAAUGGACAAUACAAAGGGCAGCGAAACCGCGAGGUCAAGCAAAUCCCAUAAAGUUGUUCUCAGUUCGGAUUGUAGUCUGCAACUCGACUACAUGAAGCUGGAAUCGCUAGUAAUCGUAGAUCAGCAUGCUACGGUGAAUACGUUCCCGGGUCU